rnacentral:tRNA from 1 species
GGCUCUGUGGUGAAGUUCAUGUUGAGUUGCAAGCUCAUCGAUGUGCAUUGAGGAUGCACCGGAGCCU